UGGGGAAUUUUGGACAAUGGGGGAAACCCUGAUCCAGCCAUCCCGCGUGUGCGAUGAAGGCCUUCGGGUUGUAAAGCACUUUUGGCAGGAAAGAAACGUCAUGGGUCAAUACCCCGUGAAACUGACGGUACCUGCAGAAUAAGCACCGGCUAACUACGUGCCAGCAGCCGCGGUAAUACGUAGGGUGCAAGCGUUAAUCGGAAUUACUGGGCGUAAAGCGUGCGCAGGCGGUUCGGAAAGAAGGAUGUGAAAUCCCAGGGCUCAACUUUGGAACUGCAUUUUUAACUACCGGGCUAGAGUGUGUCAGAGGGGGGUGGAAUUCCGCGUGUAGCAGUGAAAUGCGUAGAUAUGCGGAGGAACACCGAUGGCGAAGGCAGCCUCCUGGGAUAACACUGACGCUCAUGCACGAAAGCGUGGGGAGCAAACAGG
rnacentral:rRNA from 1 species